rnacentral:ncRNA from 1 species
CUUAUCUCCCCCAAGAGUCCACAUCGACGGGGAGGUUUGGCACCUCGAUGUCGGCUCAUCGCAUCCUGGGGCUGUAGUCGGUCCCAAGGGUUGGGCUGUUCGCCCAUUAAAGCGGUACGCGAGCUGGGUUCAGAACGUCGUGAGACAGUUCGGUCCCUAUCCGUCGUGGGCGCAGGAAAUUUGAGAGGAGCUGUCCUUAGUACGAGAGGACCGGGAUGGACGCACCGCUGGUGUACCAGUUGUCUUGCCAAAGGCAUCGCUGGGUAGCUAUGUGCGGACGGGAUAAGUGCUGAAAGCAUCUAAGCAUGAAGCCCCCCUCAAGAUGAGAUUUCCCAUAGCGUCAAGCUAGUAAGAUCCCUGAAAGAUGAUCAGGUUGAUAGGUCAGAGGUGGAAGCGCGGUGACGUGUGGAGCUGACUGAUACUAAUCGAUCGAGGACUUAACCUA